rnacentral:rRNA from 1 species
GAACGCGAAGAACCUUACCAGCCCUUGACAUGGGAGUCGCCGGGACACAGAGACGGUCCCUUCGGUUCGGCACAGGACUCCGCACAGGUGCUGCAUGGCUGUCGUCAGCUCGUGUCGUAAGAUGUUGGGUUAAGUCCCGCAACGAGCGCAACCCUCGUCUCCAGUUGCCAUCAGGUUAAGCUGGGCACUUUGGAGAAACUGCCGGUGACAAGCCGGAGGAAGGUGGGGAUGACGUCAAGUCACUCAUGGCCCUUACGGGCUGGGCUACACACGUGCUACAAUGGCGGUGACAAUGGGAAGCGAAGGUGCGAGCCGGAGCCGAUCCCAAAAAGCCGUCCCAGUUCGGAUUGCACUCUGCAACUCGAGUGCAUGAAGGUGGAAUCGCUAGUAAUCGCGGAUCAGCAUGCCGCGGUGAAUACGUUCCCGGGUCUUGUACACACC